rnacentral:rRNA from 1 species
UACAGAGGUCCCGAGCGUUGUUCGGAUUCAUUGGGCGUAAAGGGUGCGUAGGCGGUUUUCUAAGUUUGAUGUGAAAUCCCGGGGCUUAACCCUGGAAUUGCAUUGAAUACUGGGAGACUAGAGUACUGGAGAGGAAACUGGAAUUUACGGUGUAGCAGUGAAAUGCGUAGAGAUCGUAAGGAAGACCAGUGGACGAAGGCGAGUUUCUGGACAGUUACUGACGCUGAGGCACGAAGGCCAGGGGAGCAAACGGG